GGACAUUCUGCAGGUUGGUUAUCAGGCAAAAGGCCUCUCCCUGCUGAGUUCCCGCACUGCCAAGUUUCCCGCUUCAACCACUAUAUGAGGUCUCUGAGAAAAAUAAAAUUUUGCAGCUUGAUCACAAAACCUGUCUUGCUGUCGUUUCUCUUGUCUCUUUGAUCCAUCAUUCCAGGUACUCUGGUGCUGCAACACAUCGGUGUGUGAGCUCACUUGGUGUCCUGCUGGCCGGGGAACUUUUGAACAUAGAACAUGGUAAUUGAUGUGGACCUAUUUGCAUUCUUCUACAUGCUGACAUCCAGUUAGACAGCACCAAUUGUUGAAGAUACUUUCUUUGUUCCUGUGUGAAUGUCUGGAUUCUAAUAAAAAAAUUAGUUGUCCACAGCUAAAUCUUUGAUGCAUUGGCAGAGUCACCUACCCACUACACUACGGGGAAGCCUUCCAAAGCAGAUACUCAACUGCCAGCUGUCCCACCAAGGCCACCCUCAGUCACUGCUUGCUCCUUGCCCUGCUCCCCACCAGCAACCCUUGCUUCCUCAAAGAUCCCUAACUGCUUCUUUCUUCCUCCGCCGCGGACUCGCCCGUCUCUAAGUAGGCAAAAAGCCCAGGGAGCUCUCUUUUGUUUAGUUUCAGAGUUUAAUCCGACGUUUUAGUCAAAUAAAGAUCCGGAAAUCGAAUCGCUCAGCCCUUGAGUGCAAACGCCUCUUUCCUUUCCGUUUUGGAGUUCCCGUGGGUUCCUCAGAAGUGAGAGCGACAGCCUGUGCGCACAACAG
rnacentral:lncRNA from 1 species